ACGAAGGGGGCUAGCGUUGUUCGGAAUUACUGGGCGUAAAGCGAACGUAGGCGGUGUUCCAUGUCAGAGGUGAAAGCCUGGGGCUCAACUCCAGAAUUGCCUUUGAAACGGGGACGCUUGAGUCCGAGAGAGGAUGGCGGAAUUCCUAGUGUAGAGGUGAAAUUCGUAGAUAUUAGGAAGAACACCAGUGGCGAAGGCGGCCAUCUGGCUCGGUACUGACGCUCAGGUUCGAAAGCGUGGGGAGCAAACAGGA
rnacentral:rRNA from 1 species